rnacentral:rRNA from 1 species
GCAUAAUCAUUAGUUCUUUAAUUGAGGACUGGAAUGAAAGGUAGAUACUGAAUGGAAAGUUUUAUUAGAUAAUUUUGAAUUUAGAUUAAAAGUAAAAAUUCUUUUAUUUAUCUUUGGGACGAGAAGACCCUAGAAGCUUAAAAUUUUAUAAAAAUUUUUGAUUGGGGCAAUUUUUGAAGAUAUUAAUUUUUAAUUUUUAAAAUUAUAGUUUAAUAGUUACUCUAGGGAUAACAGCGUUAUUUAAUUAGCAAGUUCUUAUUAAUAAUUAGGUUUGCGACCUCGAUGUUGAAUUAAAU